GCCCAGACUCCUACGGGAGGCAGCAGUGAGGAAUAUUGGUCAAUGGCCGAAGGGCUGAACCAGCCAAGCCGCGUGAAGGAAUAAGGCCCUACGGGUCGUAAACUUCUUUAGUCAGGGAACAAAGGGUGCCACGCGUGGCGCUGUGAGUGUACCUGAAGAAUAAGCAUCGGCUAACUCCGUGCCAGCAGCCGCGGUAAUACGGAGGAUGCGAGCGUUAUCCGGAUUUAUUGGGUUUAAAGGGAGCGUAGGUGGAUUGUUAAGUCAGUUGUGAAAGUUUGCGGCUCAACCGUAAAAUUGCAGUUGAAACUGGCAGUCUUGAGUACAGUAGAGGUGGGCGGAAUUCGUGGUGUAGCGGUGAAAUGCUUAGAUAUCACGAAGAACUCCGAUUGCGAAGGCAGCUCACUGGACUGCAACUGACACUGAGGCUCGAAAGUGUGGGUAUCAAACAGGAUUAGAUACCCCUGUAC
rnacentral:rRNA from 1 species